GAAUCUGGCUUCAGGUUCGGGACAACAGUUGGAAACGGCUGCUAAUACCGGAUGUGCCCUUGGGUGAAAGAUUUAUCACCUGAAGAUGAGCUCGCGUCUGAUUAGCUAGUAGGUGUGGUAAGAGCGCACCUAGGCGACGAUCAGUAGCUGGUCUGAGAGGAUGAUCAGCCACACUGGGACUGAGACACGGCCCAGACUCCUACGGGAGGCAGCAGUGGGGAAUUUUCCGCAAUGGGCGAAAGCCUGACGGAGCAAUACCGCGUGAGGGAGGAAGGCUCUUGGGUUGUAAACCUCUUUUCUCAGGGAAGAAUGAUGACGGUACCUGAGGAAUAAGCAUCGGCUAACUCCGUGCCAGCAGCCGCGGUAAUACGGAGGAUGCAAGCGUUAUCCGGAAUGAUUGGGCGUAAAGCGUCCGCAGGUGGCAAUGUAAGUCUGCUGUCAAAGCGUCUGGCUCAACCAGAUAAAGGCAGUGGAAACUACAUAGCUAGAGUAAGGUAGGGGUAGAGGGAAUUCCNGGUNNNGCNGNGAAAUGCGUAGAGAUCAGGAAGAACACCGGUGGCGAAAGCGCUCUGCUGGACCUAACUGAC
rnacentral:rRNA from 1 species